rnacentral:rRNA from 1 species
GCCGCGGUAAUACGUAGGGGGCAAGCGUUAUCCGGAUUCACUGGGCGUAAAGGGAGCGCAGGCGGCACGGCAAGUCUGGUGUGAAAGCCCGGGGCCCAACCCCGGGACUGCAUCCGAAACUGCCGGGCUGGAGUGCCGGAGGGGCAACCCCAAUUCCUGGUGUAGCGGUGAAAGGCGC